rnacentral:rRNA from 1 species
UACGAAGGGGGCUAGCGUUGCUCGGAAUUACUGGGCGUAAAGCGCACGUAGGCGGCUCUUUAAGUCGGAGGUGAAAUCCUGGAGCUCAACUCCAGAACUGCCUUCGAUACUGUAGAGCUUGAGUUCGGGAGAGGUGAGUGGAACUGCGAGUGUAGAGGUGAAAUUCGUAGAUAUUCGCAAGAACACCAGUGGCGAAGGCGGCUCACUGGCCCGAUACUGACGCUGAGGAGCGAAAGCGUGGGUAGCAAACAGG